GACGAACCGAGCGAACGUUGUUCGGAAUCACUGGGCUUAAAGGGCGCGUAGGCGGACUGCCGCGUCCGGGGUGAAAUCCUCCGGCUCAACCGGGGAAGGGCCUCGGAUACGGGCGGUCUGGAGGGGGGUAGGGGCGUGCGGAACUGUGGGUGGAGCGGUGAAAUGCGUUGAGAUCCACAGGAACUCCGGUGGCGAAGGCGGCACGCUGGACCCCUUCUGACGCUGAGGCGCGGAAGCCAGGGGAGCGAACGGG
rnacentral:rRNA from 1 species